GAGACAGUAAGACAGACACCAUCCUCAAGCUUCACUGCUCCAAUUCACGACUGCGAGCAAAGGGAAAGCAAAGAUUUGGUGUGAAACAGAGCCAUGCUCGGGAACAUCCACUUGUGUGGGGAGUGGCACCUGGUGUCAUGUGUAAUUACUCAUCCUGCCUGGAUAAAAUGGAUCAUCAUAAAAUAAGCACUGAGCUACGUGAACUCGCAGCUGGGGUGAAAGAGCAGGGAGAUGAGUUUGGGAAGAGCCUGGUGAGCCUGCCCCAGGAUCGUGGAGCAUCCAACAGCACCGGAGCCGUGCUCCCAGGUGGACAGAUGGGCUCUGCCUGCUUCCCGUGGCUGAGCUUGCUGCUUCUCAGUGGCCUCGCUCUGCGGCCAGGUAUUGCUGCGCCAACAGGUGACCCUGCUGAAGAGACAAAAGGCUUUUCCUCUAACAAUACACGUGUGACAGUUUAUCGUUGUAAAGAUUGUGACAGCAAAAUUUGCCAAUUAUCCAAUUAUGAGAUCUUUGAUAAAAUUGGAGAAACUAAAAAUGGGACAUUAUCAAAUGACAUAAUUCAGUUGGUGACCACUGAAACUCACAUCAUUAUGUGCUUUCAGCAAGAAAUUAAGUAUCUUAAUGAAGUUUAUGCCAUCUUCUGGCAGGAAGACUGGGGAAUAGGAGAAUCCUGUGGCAACCUGGAGCUUGGAGAAAAUGAGGUGCAUCACAUCACAGAGGAGGAGAAAAUCUGCUGUGCAGUAGAGGCAGAAGAAAUCCAACCACAAGUGGCUAACCUGAACUGCUACGUUGAAAAUAAGAAAAGCUCAAUAUACCAGACCCCCGAUAAUAUAACUCCAGAUAAUCCAACAGAUCCAGACAGCAGCAAGACAAUUGGCAUCACUGCCACUUUCCUGAUUCUUGGGGUUUGUGCAGCAGCACUGGCACUGUACUGUGUUCAAAGAACCCGAAGUGGUCAAGGACGUGUCGUAGUGCUCUAUCAGAUUUUUAAAGUGAAUGGAGAGAGACAGCUGUCUUCAGAAGGUGCUAUAAAACCCAAUCAGGCUUGUGAAAGUGGAAGGUCACAGCCAUUUGAAGCAUCAUCUACAAAUGAGACAAACCAGGCCCUUAUGCCAGCAGCAUCCUCAAACAAAGUCUAG
rnacentral:lncRNA from 1 species